rnacentral:rRNA from 1 species
ACAGAGGCUGCAAGCGUUGUUCGGAGUUAUUUGGCGUAAAGAGCAUGUCGGCGGCUAUGUAAGUCGGUUGUGAAAGCCUUCCGCUUAACGGAAGAAUGGCGGUCGAAACUGCAUGGCUUGAGUGCGGGAGGGGAGAGUGGAACUUCUGGUGGAGCGGUGAAAUGCGUAGAUAUCAGAAGGAACGUCGGCUGCGAAAGAGACUCUCUAGAUCGUAACUGA